rnacentral:rRNA from 1 species
UACGGAGGGUGCGAGCGUUGUCCGGAAUCACUGGGCGUAAAGGGCGCGUAGGCGGCUGGGGUAGUCCGUGGUGAAAGCUCGAGGCUCAACUUCGAGUCGGCCAUGGAUACUCCUCGGCUUGAGCACUGUAGAGGCAGGUGGAAUUCCGGGUGUAGCGGUGGAAUGCGUAGAGAUCCGGAAGAACACCCGUGGCGAAGGCGGUUCUCUGGAACGCAACUGACGCUGAGACGCGAAAGCGUGGGGAGCAAACAGG